GCCGAAUUAGUUUAGUGGUAAAACAGGUCCUUGGUAAGGAUCAGAGGUAAGUUCAAUUCUCACAUUCGGCACCA
rnacentral:tRNA from 1 species